GGAGAGUGAUGCGUGCCUGGUGGUCGUCGCGGUCUUCAAAACCGUUGCCCCGACACGACGUGUCGGGGGGUAGGUUCGAUUCCUACCCUCUCCGCCA
rnacentral:tRNA from 1 species